AUUGAACGCUGGCGGCAGGCUUAACACAUGCAAGUCGAGCGGAGAUGAGGUGCUUGCGCCUUAUCUUAGCGGCGGACGGGUGAGUGAAGCUUAGGAAUCUGCCUAUUAGUGGGGGACAACAUUCCGAAAGGAAUGCUAAUACCGCAUACGUCCUACGGGAGAAAGCAGGGGAUCUUCGGACCUUGCGCUAAUAGAUGAGCCUAAGUCGGAUUAGCUAGUUGGUGGGGUAAAGGCCUACCAAGGCGACGAUCUGUAGCGGGUCUGAGAGGAUGAUCCGCCACACUGGGACUGGAACGCGGCCCAGACUCCUACGGGAGGCAGCAGUGGGGAAUAUUGGACAAUGGGGGGAACCCUGAUCCAGCCAUGCCGCGUGUGUGAAGAAGGCCUUAUGGUUGUAAAGCAAUUUAAGCGAGGAGGAGGCUACUGAGACUAAUACUCUUGGAUAGUGGACGUUACUCGCAGAAUAAGCACCGGCUAACUCUGUGCCAGCCGCCGCCGUAA
rnacentral:rRNA from 1 species